rfam:Sporomusa sphaeroides DSM 2875 SPSPH_contig000001, whole genome shotgun sequence.
GGGGAUAUAGCUCAGCUGGGAGAGCGCUUGAAUGGCAUUCAAGAGGCCAGCGGUUCGAUCCCGCUUAUCUCCA